CCAACGUAGGUCGAGCUGGAAUCGACUGCUCCUCACCAUGACUGAAUGAUGCAGAUGUUGUUAACUGCCCAGUCAACCCAACGUUGGUCGAGCUGGAAUCGACACCUCCUCACCGUGACUGAAUGUUACGGAUGUUGUUAACUGCCCAGUCAUUCGUUAAUCUUCUAUGACAUUAUUAGCUGCUCUUACCGCCUGACGCGGACAGUGGAUAGGAAG